AGAGUUUGAUCAUGGCUCAGAUUGAACGCUGGCGGCAGGCCUAACACAUGCAAGUCGAGCGGAUGAGUGGAGCUUGCUCCAUGAUUCAGCGGCGGACGGGUGAGUAAUGCCUAGGAAUCUGCCUGGUAGUGGGGGACAACGUUUCGAAAGGAACGCUAAUACCGCAUACGUCCUACGGGAGAAAGCAGGGGACCUUCGGGCCUUGCGCUAUCAGAUGAGCCUAGGUCGGAUUAGCUAGUUGGUGAGGUAAAGGCUCACCAAGGCGACGAUCCGUAACUGGUCUGAGAGGAUGAUCAGUCACACUGGAACUGAGACACGGUCCAGACUCCUACGGGAGGCAGCAGUGGGGAAUAUUGGACAAUGGGCGAAAGCCUGAUCCAGCCAUGCCGCGUGUGUGAAGAAGGUCUUCGGAUUGUAAAGCACUUUAAGUUGGGAGGAAGGGCAGUAAGCUAAUACCUUGCUGUUUUGACGUUACCGACAGAAUAAGCACCGGCUAACUUCGUGCCAGCAGCCGCGGUAAUACGAAGGGUGCAAGCGUUAAUCGGAAUUACUGGGCGUAAAGCGCGCGUAGGUGGUUCAGCAAGUUGGAUGUGAAAGCCCCGGGCUCAACCUGGGAACUGCAUCCAAAACUACUGAGCUAGAGUACGGUAGAGGGUGGAGGAAUUUCCUGUGUAGCGGUGAAAUGCGUAGAUAUAGGAAGGAACACCAGUGGCGAAGGCGACCACCUGGACUGAUACUGACACUGAGGUGCGUAAGCGUGGGGAGCAAACAGGAUUAGAUACCCCGGUAGUCC
rnacentral:rRNA from 1 species